GACGAACGCUGGCGGCGUGCUUAACACAUGCAAGUCGAGCGGAAAGGCUCCUUCGGGGGUACUCGAGCGGCGAACGGGUGAGUAACACGUGAGUAAUCUGCCCUGCGCUCUGGGAUAGCCACCGGAAACGGUGAUUAAUACCGGAUAUGACCGCUACACGCAUGUGUUGGUGGUGGAAAGUUUUUCGGCGCAGGAUGUGCUCGCGGCCUAUCAGCUUGUUGGUAAGGUAAUGGCUCACCAAGGCUUUGACGGGUAGCCGGCCUGAGAGGGUGGCCGGUCACACUGGGACUGAGACACGGCCCAGACUCCUACGGGAGGCAGCAGUGGGGAAUAUUGGACAAUGGGCGGAAGCCUGAUCCAGCAACGCCGCGUGAGGGAUGACGGCCUUCGGGUUGUAAACCUCUUUCAGUACCGACGAAGCGAAAGUGACGGUAGGUACAGAAGAAGGACCGGCCAACUACGUGCCAGCCGCCGCGGUAAAAC
rnacentral:rRNA from 1 species